rnacentral:lncRNA from 1 species
CAACAGCACUUUGACUGGAAAAAACCUAUGACCGUAGUCCCUAAUUCUGCCAUGUGGUGCACACACACACUGUUGCUGCAGAGCUAGGGUAUUAGGUCACAUUUAAAUGAUUAUUUUUCUGUUCCAGAAACAAUCAAGACUGAAGUUAAAUCAUUUUGAUCCAACUGAAAUUCAUUCCUAUUCAAGAUUCAAUUCCUGGGAGAAUUUUGACAUUUGAAAGGCAUGUUUCUCCUAAUUUCCGUUCUCGGUAAGGUGCUAUUUUUAAAUUAUAAAUGAUCCUCUGAAACAUUUAGCUCGAGAUGUUGAGGACAGCACCCUGAUUAGUUAACACAACUGCUUCACAACGGGCUUUGCUUUCCAUUCUAACUGAUUAAUUAUGAUGACUUUGCAGAUUAACAUAAUUAAUGGCACCGGAGCAGAGGGAGGUGUCAACUAUUCUGACCCCCUCCAGCUCUCGGGGAGGGGUUUGGCAGGCACUGCCGCUUUCCGGCACUGCUAGAGAGUCAGCAGGGGCUCGCACCACCCGAGACUUGGUCUGAAUUUAGACUGAGCAGUUGCGCCCUGUUUGGGAAGCGUCCAGGUGGCCUGAAUACUUGCGUGUCCUUCGUGUCCUGGUUCUGCCCUCUGUGCGUCUCUAGGCAGGCACAAGGAGUUGGGGCUUUGCACAAAACUUGGAGUACGAAAGGCGGCAGGAAGCCCUUCAAAGACCUACCUGCAAUGUGUGGAGAGAAGAGGAGUGUUUGUAAGGAACAGGGACUGCGUUGCCACUCAGAUGGAAAGAAUAACAUGACAGCUUGACAGGCUACGCAUAUGUUACAGGUUGUACCAAUAUAAAAGCAGCAAGAUAGCACACAAAAGAGAUCACGGAAAAUGCAGCCUGGACCAAAGAUGACAGGCUGGGAGAUCGUUUUCUGCAGCACUGGCUGAUGUCAGGAAAAGCCCCAGGUGUGGCAAUAUUUCACUGACAGUCUUCUGCCUAGGAGUUUGCACUAUAGAAAUCUCUUGCGUCUUCCCCGCUUCAGACAGGUCCCUGAGCCUGCUGCAGUGUCACUGCAAAGCCUGCUGAAGUUACGAGCAUGCUUGAAGAGACACGUGCUGUGUGUCCCCUGUUACAUGAACGCUGUGCCUGUGCUAUUUGGGCACAUCACCGUGCUUUUCAUUUCCGAGCUGUUGUCACAGAGAGAGGAGGAUUUAGGUAGCAAUGUCCUGUCCCCCACAAAAAGAGGGGAUUUUUAACCCAGGCGUGGGUUUAAAAACUACCCACAGAUUGCUCGCAGGUUUGUGCCCUGUCCCCCUACUGCAAUACCUGCAGCUCUCCCCACCAUAAUGCCGGCUCUCCUGAGGCCGUCGCCAGCCCCCUCCUCAUCUCCCCUAGCUGUGAGCCACAGCACGGUUUCGUACACCUUGCUUCCAUAGGAAUCCAGAGCAAAAAUGUGUUUGGCCUCUAAGCCGAAAAGAUUAG